rnacentral:rRNA from 1 species
GACCGUGAAGACAAAAUCUCUUGGCGUUGGACCCCAAACGGCACCUACUCCUCUGCCUCAGCUUACAUGGCCCAGUUCUGUGGAUCCUUCCCCAGGUUCACGCCGUCCAAGAUUUGGGAGGCCCAUGCAGAACCAAAGUGCAAACUCUUCUCCUGGCUGGUCCUCCAUGGGAAAAUCCUCACGACGGACAUGCUUUGCUAUUCGUGGCUGGCCACAUGA